rnacentral:rRNA from 1 species
CUUUAGGAUCUCUCCCUCCAGCACGGGAUCCUCCUACCUUUCUCAUGCCCAUACACCUCUCCACAAAACGGUAAAGUUGAACGCAUCAUUCUCACUAUCAACGACGUAGUACGUACUUUGCUUUUUCAAGCGAGCAUGCCUCCAAAAUUUUGGUUUGAAGCCCUCCAUACAUCCACCUAUCUUCUCAAUAGAUUACCCACCAAAGCCCUUGCGACUUGCUGUCCUUUCUUCGCUCUUUUUAGCAAAACACCAGACUACACCCUUCUUUGUACUUUUGGUUGUUUAUGCUACCCCAACAUCGCAUCCACUAUGUCUCACAAAUUGUCGCACCGUUCAGUCGCAUGUGUUUUUCUUGGCUAUCCAUCUAACCACCGUGGCUAUCGUUGUAGGGAACUUGAAACUCAUCGCAUCAUCAUCUCUCGCCAUGUGAUUUUUGACGAAACUCGGUUCCCAUUGGGAACCUCUUUUUCUGUCUCUAACAUGCAGCAGCACGCCUCUACACCGCCCUCGGACGAUGGUCCGAUCGACAUACUCGACUCGGUCGUCAUGCCACCCAUGCAUGUUGGGUUGCGUCCCUCCGCUGGAUAG